rnacentral:rRNA from 1 species
AGCGGCGGACGGGUGAGUAACAACGUGGGCGAACCUGCCCUCGGAGCGGGGGAGGUAACAAUUUGGUAAACAAGAUGCUAAUAACCGCACUAAUAAUCAAAACCACAUGGUUUUGAUUUCAAAGAUGGCUUCGGCUAUCACUCCAGGAUGGGCCCGCGGUGCAUUAGCUAGUUGGUAAGGUAACGGCUUACCAAGGCGAUGAUGCAUAGCCGAGUUGAGAGAAUGAUCGGCCACAAUGGAACUGAGACACGGUCCAUACUCC